GACGAACGCUGGCGGCGUGCUUAACACAUGCAAGUCGAACGGAAAGGCCUGCUUUCCCUUGUGGAUUGCGGGUACUCGAGUGGCGAACGGGUGAGUAACACGUGAGUGAUCUGCCCCCAACUUGGGUAUAAGCCUGGGAAACUGGGUCUAAUUCCCGAUAGGACUGCAGGGUGGUGCCUGUGGUGGAAAACGAUUUUCUAGUGGUUGGGGAUGAGCUCGCGGCCUAUCAGCUUGUUGGUGGGGUAAUGGCCUACCAAGGCGGCGACGGGUAGCCGGCCUGAGAGGGUGGACGGCCAUAUUGGGACUGAGAUACGGCCCAGACUCCUACGGGAGGCAGCAGUGGGGAAUAGUGCACAAGGGGCGGAAGCCUGAUGCAGCGACGCCGCGUGGGGGAUGACGGCCUUCGGGUUGUAAACUCCUUUCGACCGCGAGGAAGCCACCUGGUUGGAAGGGUGGUGACGGUAGUGGUAGAAGAAGCACCGGCUAACUACGUG
rnacentral:rRNA from 1 species